AGACGAAAACACUAGGCCUAGCGAUGGCCUGUGCCCAUGCCUAGUCCCAAUUUAUCAGAGAGCUGAACUGAGAGGAAAGUACUCACCAGCUGUUUGGCUAGAGGGUCUACUCUUCAGAAGAGCCUUUAGAGGAGGAUUUGGUGACCUGAACGAUCUCCACAGAGGUGAAGCCCUUUCCUACUGAAGCACGAUUCCUGGUGCGCAGCUUGUUCAGGGCCAUCUCUGCAUUGCCAGCCCUCUCCUCUGCAUCAUCAAGCUCAUGCACAGUCUUCCUGUAUUUGGACAGACUGGAAUUGGCUUGCUCCUCCUAAUAAAGCACAGUCUGGAAGACCAGCUCCUUCAGACGACGCUCAUUCUUACGCAGGACCUUCACUGUCUCAACAUGCCGUUUCUGCUCGCCAUCCAGCUC